AGCUCGGUUCGGCGGGGCUGGAUGGAGCUCAGGGGGGCGAGCAGGGCAGGAGCUGGGCCUUGGCACCGUGCUGGGGCAGCAGCUGUCCCUUUGCUGCCCCUUCGCUGUCCCACUGUUUUUUCUUACAGAGAUAUAUAUGGCUCAAGAAGCAGGCACAUGAUCCCAGCAAGAAUUUGCGGAGUUGUACGACGACAGAUCUUGGCUGCAGCUUUGUCAUGAACCAGGAAUGAGCCAGACCUUAGCAGAAGAGAUGAACAAGUUCUUGGGGAAAACCCAUGAAGCUACAAGGAGAAGCCUUCUGCCCUCCCCUCACUCACCCCUCUCCUGGUCUGGCCAGGGUUCUCAAAGUCCAUUCUUUGGGUUGCUUUAACUGGAUUGAGCUUAGGGUCUGCCUCAGAUUGUGAAUUCUGAUGAGAUUUCAGGACAUUUUCUGUAUAAUAUUUUCUGCAUUAGACAGGAUAAAAAUGAAAUAAACCUACAGUCCUUUGCA